GUGGGGAAUAUUGCGCAAUGGGGGAAACCCCGACGCAGCGACGCCGUGUGAGGGAAGAAGGCUUUCGGGUCGUAAACCUCUGUCAGGAAGGAAGAACCUCUCAAGGCUGAACAAGCCUUGGGACUGACGGUACUUCCAGAGGAAGCACCGGCUAACUCCGUGCCAGCAGCCGCGGUAAUACGGAGGGUGCAAGCGUUAAUCGGAAUCACUGGGCGUAAAGCGCGCGUAGGCCGUCUUUUAAGUCGGGCGUGAAAGCCCUCGGCUCAACCGGGGAGCUGCGUUCGAUACUGGGAGACUUGAGUCCUGGAGAGGGUGGCGGAAUUCCGGGUGUAGGAGUGAAAUCCGUAGAUAUCCGGAGGAACACCGGUGGCGAAGGCGGCCACCUGGACAGGUACUGACGCUGAGGCGCGAAAGCGUGGGGAGCAAACAGGAUUAGAUACCCGAGUAGUCC
rnacentral:rRNA from 1 species